rnacentral:lncRNA from 1 species
CACCCACAAAAUUAUACACAAAAAAGAAGUACAAUUUGCAAAAGAUUAGUUACCAAUUUGUUUUGAUAUUUGUUCAAAUACAAGACACAAAAUAUUCAAGAAAUAUUAUAAUACAAAAGUAGAAGUAUCUUGAUUAGAUUUUAUAUCCAGGCACAUAUAGUGAUUGCAAUGCUAAAAGAAAAAAAAAGUUGUCGUUAUAUUGAGACGAUGACCUUUUAUUGACAUAUUGCACUCCAUGGCAGAAGAAGAUCACAACUUUUGAUCGAUAAUCUGUAAGAAUAAAUACAUGUGAACAGUUGUAUACAUUCUUGUUAAACAACCACAAAUAUUAGGAUAUAGUAUUAUAAGGUGAAUAGACAAAGACCUGAAAACUCAACAAAUUAAAAUUUAUAAAAAAAGCAUUACAUAAAGUUAAUAACAAAAGUCACAAUGAACUUUUUGUUUACCUCUUCGUAUCGAACACCUCCGCAUUAGCAUAGACGAAGAUCUGGGAAUAUUGAAGAGACACAAAAUUUUAAAAAGGAAGAACAUACAAAGGACAAAACCCAUCAAAAACAUAACAAC